rnacentral:rRNA from 1 species
UACGUAGGGGGCAAGCGUUGUCCGGAAUUAUUGGGCGUAAAGCGCGCGCAGGCGGUCAUUUAAGUCUGGUGUUUAAUCCCGGGGCUCAACCCCGGAUCGCACUGGAAACUGGGUGACUUGAGUGCAGAAGAGGAGAGUGGAAUUCCACGUGUAGCGGUGAAAUGCGUAGAUAUGUGAAGGAACACCAGUGGCGAAGGCGACUCUCUGGGCUGUAACUGACGCUGAGGCGCGAAAGCGUGGGGAGCAAACAGG